rnacentral:tRNA from 1 species
GGUAGCGUGUCCGAGCGGCCGAAGGUACUCGCCUCGAAAGCGAGUGAGGGUCAAACCUCCGCGGGUUCAAAUCCCGCCGCUACCGCCA